UACAGAGGGUGCGAGCGUUGUCCGGAAUCACUGGGCGUAAAGGGCGCGUAGGCGGCUCGGUAAGGUUGCGGUGAAAGCCCGGGGCUCAACCCCGGGUCGGCCGUGGCAACUGCUGAGCUAGAGCACUGUAGAGGCAGGUGGAAUUCCGGGUGUAGCGGUGGAAUGCGUAGAGAUCCGGAAGAACACCAGUGGCGAAGGCAGCAGAUUGGGUCGGUACUGACGCUCAGGCACGAAAGCAUGGGGAUCAAACAGG
rnacentral:rRNA from 1 species